rnacentral:rRNA from 1 species
UGCAUAGGAAUCUGCCCAUGUAGUGGGGGACAACCUGGGGAAACUCAGGCUAAUACCGCAUGAGCCCUUCGGGGAAAGCAGGGGAUCUUCGGACCUUGCGCUAUUGGAUGAGCCUAUGCCUGAUUAGCUUGUUGGUGGGGUAACGGCCUACCAAGGCGACGAUCAGUAGCUGGUCUGAGAGGACGAUCAGCCACACUGGGACUGAGACACGGCCCAG